rnacentral:rRNA from 1 species
AGCGAACGCUGGCGGCAGGCUUAACACGUGCAAGUCGAGCGGGCAUCCUUGUGGUGUCAGCGGCAGACGGGUGAGUAACGCGUGGGAACGUGCCCUUCGGUUCGGAAUAACUCAGGGAAACUUGAGCUAAUACCGGAUACGUGCGAGAGCAGAAAGGUUUAUCUGCCGAAGGAUCGGCCCGCGUCUGAUUAGCUAGUUGGUGAGGUUAUGGCUCACCAAGGCGACGAUCAGUAGCUGGUCUGAGAGGAUGAUCAGCCACACUGGGACUGAGACACGGCCCAGACUCCUACGGGAGGCAGCAGUGGGGAAUAUUGGACAAUGGGGGCAACCCUGAUCCAGCCAUGCCGCGUGAGUGAUGACGGCCUUAGGGUUGUAAAGCUCUUUUCUCCGGGACGAUAAUGACGGUACCGGAGGAAUAAGCCCCGGCUAACUUCGUG